rnacentral:rRNA from 1 species
CCCUUAGAUGUUCUGGGCCGCACGCGUGCUACACUGAGUAAUUCAAUGGGUAAGGGAACGCUAGAGCAUUACCUAAUCCUGAAAUUUGCUCGUGAUGGGGAUCGACGGUUGCAAUUUUCCGUCGUGAACGAGGAAUACCUUGUAGGCGCAUGUCAUCAUCAUGCGCCGAAUACGUCCCUGCCCUUUGUACACACCGCCCGUCGCUCCUACCGAUUGAGUGAUCCGGUGAGGCUCUGGGACCUGGACGGAAAGAGCGUUUCGCUUGUUCUGUUUGGGAAACUUGGUCGAACCUUAUCAUUUAGAGGAAGGAGAAGUCGUAACA